AGCACAUCUGCUGUCAUUGCCUGCUCGGUUCAUUCUCUCUUCUCAACCUCAAUGUCCCUCUGGGAAACCACCAACUCCCUAUCAACCCUUGCAGUGAGUGGAAUGAUUGAUGCCAAUCUCAGAGUCAAGAGUGGUCACGUGAUCUGGACUUAGCCAAUCAGAACGAGUGAUACCGAAAAGAUGUGCCUCUUGGACAGCACGAGCUCUGUUUCUGCCAGACGUGAAGAUGAAAGUGGCCAUCCUGCCAUAGAAGACGUUGCUCAAGAGGGGGUCCACACAGAAGAGAGCAGAGCUGGGAGGCUGAGGGUGGAGUAGAAGGAGCUCGGGCACUCUUACACAGCUGAGGAUGCGAUCAUACUUCUCUGUGGUAUGCAAGACUCUGUCCCUGCCCUGAGGAGUUUAUUUGCUGGACACAAGGCAGAGGAGAAGGUAGGGUGGCUUAUUCCAGUCUAAGUGAGGGCAUCCACCGCCCAUCCCACAGCCGUCCAGAGGAAGGGGACUGGAAAUAGAACAGGGGCUGUACAAUACUCAUCCGCACACACUGAGCACUGCCAGAGGCCGUGCCAACAUAACCCAGUCCAAGCCCAUACCAUGCCCUGCACGACAGCCAGUACCUCAAGAGACAAGGAAUUGGGGCAAGGGAGGGGGCUUUGUUUUGGAGAGCAACCGAGAAGGUGGUAGACUAGUGUCCUGAAGAACCAUCUGAAGUAACUAUGAGUUUCUGGGCUUUCUUUUAUGUGGGAGGAGAGAGGGCGUUGAGGUUAGGAAGUGACCGAUGACCGUGGACAUAUGGCCAGCAGCGAGGGUCCAAGGGGGCUGGAGACGUCUUUGUCCUUGGUCGGGUCCCAGUGCUCACGUGCAUUUUUAACACACAGUGUUGCUCAUGGGACGCCCUCCUUAUCUCCCUGGGGGUGAGUGUUGGGAAGGGACUGUGGUCUUCCCUGCUUUAAUCUAGAAACGAAAGUCCUCCCACAGUUAGCUUGGCAUAUGUGCAGAGAUCAGCAAAAGUAGUUAACCUAGAAGAUGUCACCACAGGGGGUGGGUUAGGAGCAAAACAGCUUGUCACGUGAGGCCUUCUUUUCACUGCUCCACCAAGGGCACGUUCUCACCUUCCCCUCUAUAUACACUCCUGUAACCCCCAUCUUGCCAGGAAGCUGCACGCGUCCCCAGGUCUGCCCAAAUCCACCGGGAUUUCCUGGAGGACAUGGAGUUCAUGCUGGACCUUGACCCAGAGAUGAAUGAGGCAGAGGAUGGAGGGGACUCCAGGUUAGGCCCAGUACAGGACCACGUGGGAAUGAGACCAGCUUAGGCCUCUGCAUAGAACCACCAGGUCCAUGGCUCCAGUCUUGUCCCUUAUGUCAUCCCCAUCCCU
rnacentral:lncRNA from 1 species